UGAACCAGACAAGAUCCCGACUUACCGUCGCUUGUCUUCACCGGCGUUCGCUCUCACCGCUUCCGCCAUUGAUAUCUCAGCUUGUCCUUUGAUGAAUCCAGCAAAAAACCUUUAACUUCGUGAUUCUCCGGUAGCAAAACUCAAUUUGUCUACCUCACGACAUGUACACCGAACCAAAAUUGUCACCACCACAAAAGCUCACGGUGUAGACGUCUCUUCACCUCCGUUGCUUCCGAUAGACGUUUCUUUGCUACAACCAUAUUUCUUCAAGGUAAACUUUUGAACUCAUCCUUUAUCAAGCUUUAUAUAUCCCUGUCGAACCAUCAGUUUACUUUUCCUGAAACUGAUACUUUCUUUUGUGGCCUUUCCGCGAGGUGAACAACUCGACAGCACUGUCACCUGCAGCCACACGAGACCUACUAUGGCAGGACUUUAAGAAGCUCCAGACAUGUCUCGAACUUCUUUCCAGGUUGCUGUAACACGCCGGAACCGUCAAGCUUCAAUACCAACGAGCUGAGUCUUCUUCACCACACCAGAUAAGAAUUCUCCUUGCUUGUUUAUUGAACCUUGCCUUCGAAUCUCUGUAACUAGGAUCUCGGUUAGCCUAAGCUCUGAUACCACUUGUAGAGAAACGACCUUGGCUUUUCUUGUAACAAACGGAACGAUGCACUGAUAUGUUUGGCGAGUCCAACCUCCAAACCGGAGAUAAACUCUUUAUCACUAUGAAUCGAAAGAUUACAAGCCUCGCACUAGUUGCGUGUUCUAUGAGAGAUAUAUAUUUGUUGUAUCUUACAAUGAGAGUCUCGACCUAUAUUUAUACUAGAUUGCUAAUGUGAUUCCUUGUUGUAAAAGGAAUAACAUGUUUAUCCUAAGUUUAUAAGACUUUAUAAACUUCUUGGAUAAUAAUGAAACUAACCCAAUCUUCUUAUC